UCCCUGCUGGCUCAGAGGUUAAAGCGUCUGCCUCCAAUGUGGGAGGCCCGGGUUCGAUCCCAGGGUCGGGAA
rfam:TPA: Bos taurus chromosome 5, whole genome shotgun sequence.